rnacentral:vault_RNA from 11 species
GGGCCAGCUUAGCCUAGCGGUUCCUUCGCAGUUUGAGCAAGUAACUACCACACCUGGUUCAAGUCCCGCGGGCGCUGCCUGGCCUUUUG